UGUAUUCACUACUGUAAGUCGCUCUGGAUAAGAGCGUCUGCUAAAUGAUGUAAA
rfam:Salmo salar isolate Sally breed double haploid chromosome ssa13, whole genome shotgun sequence.